rnacentral:tRNA from 1 species
CUCUCCGUAGCUCAGCUGGUAGAGCAAUUGACUCUUAAUCAAUGGGUCACAGGUUCGAAUCCUGUCGGGGAGA